rnacentral:rRNA from 1 species
AUUGAACGCUGGCGGCAUGCCUUACACAUGCAAGUCGAACGGCAGCACGGGUGCUUGCCCCUGGUGGCGAGUGGCGAACGGGUGAGUAAUACAUCGGAACAUGUCCUGUAGUGGGGGAUAGCCCGGCGAAAGCCUGAUUAAUACCGCAUACGAUCUACGGAUGACAGCGGGGGACCUUCGGGCCUCGCGCUAUAGGGUUGGCCGAUGGCUGAUUAGCUAGUUGGUGGGGUAAAGGCCUACCAAGGCGACGAUCAGUAGCUGGUCUGAGAGGACGACCAGCCACACUGGGACUGAGACACGGCCCAGACUCCUACGGGAGGCAGCAGUGGGGAAUUUUGGACAAUGGGCGAAAGCCUGAUCCAGCAAUGCCGCGUGUGUGAAGAAGGCCUUCGGGUUGUAAAGCACUUUUGUCCGGAAAGAAAUCCUUGGCCCUAAUACGGUCGGGGGAUGACGGUACCGGAAGAAUAAGCACCGGCUAACUACGUG